UCUCUCUUUCUCUCUCUCUCACUCUCUCCCUCUCCCUCUCCCUCUCCCUCUCCCCCCCUCUCUCUCUCUCUCUCUCUCUGUAAAUUUAAAAUGUAAAUUUUUUUUAGAAAAAUUUAAUUUUAAAAACUUUACAUUUAAAAUCUAAAUUUAAAAUUAAAUAUUUUAAGUUUUAAAUUUUUUAUUAUUUUAAAAUAAAUUUAAAUUUAAAAUAUAAAAUGUUGAAGUUUAAAAUUUAAAUCUUAAAAUUUGAGAUUGAAAUUUUAAUAUUUGAAAUUUAAUAUUUGAAUUUUUUUAAUUCAAUUUAUAAUUUAAUAUUUAAAAUAUUUAAAUUUGAAAUUUAAAAGUUAAAACUUAAAAUUUAAAAAUUUUAUAUUUUAUCUUAAUUACUAAAACUAAAAUUUAAAAUAUUCAAAGUUUAAUAUUUAAAAUUUUUAAAUUCAAUUAAUAAUUUAAUUUUUAAAAUAUCGCAAUUUGAAAUUUAAAAUUUAAAACUUAAAAUUUAAAAAUUUUAUAUUUUAUUUUAAUUACUAAAAGUAAAUUUUUCAAUUUUACAUUUUUAAACUUUAAAUUCCAGUUCCUAAAUUUUAAAAUUUACAUUUUAUAUUCAAAUUUUGUAUUUUAAAAUUUAAAAUAUAAAAUCUAAUAUUUGAAACCUAAAAUUUUAAAUUUGAUAUUUGAUAUUUAAAAGUUAAAAAUAAUAUUUAACAUCUAAGUCUGAAGGAUGUUUAUUUGAAAUUCAUUAAUUUUGAAUUUAAAUCUGAAUGAUAGUUUAAAAUUCAACUAUAAAAUUUAAAUUUAAAUUUAAAUUUUAAAUCGAAAAUCAAACUGAGAUUUUUGGUUGCCGGUGUUGAUCCGCCGUGAAGCGCGGGCCCUAAACUAGUAUAUAUUAAUGAGUUGGGCUGGAAUACUAUUGAUAAUAUUUUGUCCCUUUUGCUAUUAAGUUAAUUUUUAGCCCUUGGAUGAGAAAUUGUAGGAUUAUAAUGAUAUUAGUCCCUUAGGGUUGAGUUGUCCCGGCCCCCUAGGAUUGAGUUGGUCAUCACUAGAUUAUAAUAUUUAAUCCAAUAGUUAGAAAUGAUCUAAGAAAUUGAUCCAAAACUAAAAUCUUGGUAGCAAAAGAAGGCAAAUACUAUUAAUAGUAUUCUAGCCCAGCUCUCUAUUAAUUAAUAUAUAUGAUAUAUGAUAAUAUGUUAUAUGUGGAACUAAAUAUAUAUCUAGCUAACAUAUGAGAAUAUAUUAUAAAUAGCAUUAUUAUAAUAAAGUUGAACAUAUAUAUCUCUAAAUAUAUGUAGUACAUAAUAUUAUAUAAAGUUAUAUACGUAUAAGUAAAUUUUAUACAUAAUAUAUUAUUUAUUUAUAUGAGGAUUUUUUGUAAAUAAUAAUUACAAUUUUGGAUACUAUGAGGCUUUGAGAUUGAGUUGGAUAUUGAUGAGGAUUUAGGGAUGAACUAAUAAUGUGAUCAAACUCUAGAUAAUUUUUGAACAUACAAAAAUAAUAUUUUAUUUUAAUUUAAUACAAUAACUAAUAUAUAUGCAUGCCCUACGUGACAAAUGCAUAGAGCGGGCCUCAACAAAGCUGAUGGGUGUUGAGCAUCGGCCAUAGGCCUAGACCGGGCCAAAUUUUUUUUAAAAAAGCCCAGUUUUUCUUUUUGGGCUAGGCUUGGGUAUAGAAUGACCCCACGAAAAUCCGAUCAAUUUCACCUGUAGCCACCGAUCAAAAUGCUAUAGGUGGAUAUAUAGUACUAUUUUAAAUCCUAAGGUAGCGUUUGAAUUGGGUACAAGAUGGUGUAUAAGGGCCUUAUGCCCCAUCUUGUACCCAAACAAGAUUUGGUUAAGGUGGGAACUAUAGUUCCCACCCCUGGUGGGAACAAGCUUGGACCCACUUGAGCGCGCGCGCACACACACACACACACACACAGAGAGAGAGAGAGAGAGAGAGAGAGAGAGAGAGAGGUGUUUUAGUUGAUCAAAUAUGAGAUUAUUUCUCUUGUGAAAGUAAUAAGUUAACAAAGGCCAUUUCAAUACUCCUUUCUCUUUUUUCUCUUUUAUCACUACUUUAAUUAGACCAAUUUCUGUUUUAUACUUGUUUUUCCCCCUCAUUUCUCUAGUUAGAAGAUGCUUCUUCUUUUUUUUUAACAAAAAUCAUAUUUUCACUAAAAUAAUUCGUUCAAUUUGGUUGUUUAUUCGGUCCAGAGAUCGAUAAAUAUAUCAUAAUUUUUGCUUCUAUUUUAUGCUUCUUUAUUAUGUGCAUGUAUAUAUAGAGAGAGAGAGAGAUGAGCUAAAAUACUCUUAAAAGCACCAAGGAAGUGAUGCUUUUGAGUUUUUAACCAUUGGAUAGAAAGAUGUAGGGUUGAGAUGAUGGUGGUAAGUGGUGGUAGGGGGUGGUAAGUAGAAUAGUGUUUGAUCCAAGGAAUAUUAGUAAUUAAGGAGUAGAUUCGAGGGCUAGAAACUUAGAAGCAACAAAAAAUUGGUGCCUUACUUCUAAAAGUAUUCUAGCUCAAUUUUAUAUAUAUANAAUUUAAAAUUAUAAGUUUAAAAUUUAAAAAUUUAAAUUCAAUUAUAGGGGUAAUAUCAUUAUUUUCUAUUUAUAACCAUCAACUAUUUCUCUUAUUCCCAAUAACCAUCCAAACACAAUUUUUCUAAUUCCAGCUUAUACUCACAUUUUCAUCCAAACAAAAAAAUAUCUUUAUUCUUACAAAAAUCCAUACUUGUAUCUAUCCUUGGAAUAACUAGUUCCUACUAAUUUCCGAACCAAACGAAGCCUAUAAGAGUGUCACAAUCCUCUCUCCUUUAAGCUUUGAUGUCCUCGUUAGAUUCUAGCACACUUGCAAGCACUAAGUGAUGUGAGAUUCGUCUUGCUGGCCUUUGCUGAUCUUGUUGGGAGAGCCUGCCAUCCACACCAGUCACAUUAGUUGAGGAGCCGCGCUCUUCCCGUUGUAUGACCUAGCUCUGCUGAGACUUAUUCUAUAUUUUUCAGCUGGUGAUUAACUCUGAUACAAACUAUGACGUUCCGCUUUUCAGAGGGUUAUUUAUCUUUGAACUACUCUAAUUCUAAUAUGUUUAACUCCCUUAACCUUUUGGAUAUGAUCAUCGCCCAAAAUGCUAUAAUUGAGUUAAUAGGUUUAGUCUUACUAUAUACAUAACAGACUAUUCCAAAUUUUAGGAGUAUUAUAAUUUACAUACUAAUAAUUGGGUAUCAAGGCAGGUAAUGAGAUUCCAAAGAAUGUGCGCAGGACUCAUAUAAUAUGGUCAUAAUUAAGUCUAUUCAUGAAGGUAGUUGAUGAAUUUUUUGUGACUACACUCCAACAGUACUAGGUUUUAGUUAAAUGUUGUUGCUUAGAAGAAAAAGAGUCUCUCUUUGACUGCAAUAAAGAAAGUGGGUUUGAAUGCUCUACCUACUCUCUAAUAAACUACAUGCGAGCAAUAAACUAAACACAAGAGUCAAAAAUGCAUCACUACAAGCAUUUGACUAUUGUUAAGAGGCGCUGUUUAGUUCAACCUUUUAGCCAUCAUUAUUGUUGGAAUCUACAGUAAAGUAAUGUCCAAAUAGAGCUAGUUAAAGAAAAAAAAAAAAACAAAAAAGAUCUUAUCUAUACAGCCUAUAUAUUAUAUGGUGUGCAUCUUAUACCACAGAUUCAUUAGUAUUAAAUAAAUAAAUAAAAUAAAUGAGUGAAUUUUAUCCUUUUAAAGGCGAAGAUGUGACAUAUACACCUAUAUUAUAGGUGUACAAGUAGCAUUGCUUAUUUUGAGAAAUACUAAAUAGUUGUUUGUUAAUAAUCCUUAGGGNUUUUUUUUUUUUUUUUUUUUUUUCCCGGUACUCCUCAAAAGAAGUUAUUCGCUGUUUCUUUUAAUAAUGAUGGUAUAAAUCAAAGUAAUCUUUGAGCUUAAUUAAGACCAAGGGGCCAAUCUCUGUUCAGAUUUAUUCCAUACCCCACUAUUUAUAUAGAUAUUCCAUAUGGUAGUAUAUUUUUAAUGAUUAAUAAACAAUCAAAAAGUUGGAGUAACUAGUUUUUAAUUAUAUUGACGGUAUCUAGUGCAGUUAACUAUUGAUGGUUAGAACUCAAGAACUUAAGUUCAAAAACUAUUUAUAUUACAUUUCUAACUGAGUUCAUUUAAGAAAAAAUGAAUGAAACGGAUAGCUUAGUAUCUUUCUUUCUUUCCAAAAAAGAAAAAACAUGAACUAUUUACUGAUUUGUCUAUCACAAGAAGAAAUAAGCAUACCAUGACCUUCUAAUCAAGAAAGUGACUCCUUUACCCAAUGGCUUGUUAAUAAUUAUUACUUUUUUGAAAAUCCUUUGUCAAAAUUAGGUAUGAGGUUCUAUUAAACAAACUCUAAAUGUGCUUUGAGCAUUAAUUUAGGCUUAAUAUGAAAGAGGCUCUUUAUGACCAACUUGAAAUCGAAGUCAUAACUUUGAAAAUAUGAAUCAUAUAUAUAUAUUGUAGCUACAGUCCAAAAGCUUCUAAAAUUAACAGUAGCAAAUCACCUAUAAUUAAUUCCUAGCCUAGCUUGAGGUUACAUUGUUAAUUAAAUCCACCAUACUAUGUGAUAUAUAACACAAAAUCCAUUGAGAUUGCUAAUAAACCCUACUCUUUUUAUCAAUCAUUACGAUGGAUUAUAAAUUUGGUAAUAGAUAUAGAUUGUGUUUCGACCUCAUCGUUUCAAAUGUAACACUUUAAUCUCUCAAAAUUAUUUCAUGAGACAAUUCAAUCAUUCCUUCAGUCUGGUGUUUGUAAAGUACCUGCGAUGUCGGCAUCGUCAUUAGAGUUUCUUCUUUUCUUUUAAUUACAUCUGAAACUCGGAUAAUGAUAUUGAAACUAAGAUCAAAUUUGACAGUCAAAUUGAUACUCAAAGAUGAAAUUGAAAUCAAAGUCAAAUUUGAUAGACUAAAGUGUUAGAAAUCGAAAGUCUGCUGGCGAAAUUGCAAUCCAAGUUAAACUUCGACAACUAAAUUUGUAAUCAACCAUAAACUCUGUUAGAUGUGACUCGAAAUUGAUAAUCAACUUAAGUUCGGAUUUUCGACUCGCCGACAGCUUCGCGGUGCGACCAAAUUGGAAAAAUAAAACUGUGAAGGAAAAAUGAAUGUCUGUGGUGGGUAGCGGAGGGCUCGGAUCGGAUCCGAAACCCGUUAGGAGUUUUCUUUUUCGUUUUUGCCCUAGAGGCGUGAGAUCGUGGUCGGUUGUACUCUUUGAACAUUGUAUUCCCUUUUUUCGUUUGAUAGUGAAGUUCUCUCCUCCCUCUCCCGUGGUUUUCCAUGCAAAGGGUAUUUCACGUAAAUCUGUGUGUUCUUUCAUUCCUGUUUGUGACUUGUUUAUUUCGUGUUUACCAUUUUUGUUUCCGUUUGUGCGUUUGUCGUAACAAACUCUAACUCAUAAAACUUUUGAGGGUGUAGGCCCUCUUUCCUCAUUCUUAAUAAUGUUUCUAUGGUCAAACAAACAUACUUUUGGGAGCUUGGAUGAUCUCAUUUGGCCUUGCCUAAACCUCAUUUUAUCCGAAAUCUACGCAAUUAUUCUUAUGAAGAACUAACUAAUCAUUUCUAAAGAAACUCUGUCGAGCGAAGAGGAGACAACAAACAUGCAAAAACAUUCAUAUAUCGGCGAAUGAUGUCUACAGGCACAUUAUAAAAGGGCGAGUUGUUUAAAAGCUCAAUUAAGUAAACGAAAUCCAGAUUUUUUUUUCAGGGUGGUGAUGCCGAUUUGGUGAUGAGGAUCACUUAAACUAAUGAGUUAAGUUGUAUGUAGAUACUCUCAACAAUGCGCUUUUCUACUUAAACAAAUUGCACAAACGGAAAUUAAGAUGGCUAUGAAGCCUAAUGAAUCCUAUAGUGGAUAUUUAUACAAUAGGUUGUAUUCAUUAGUUGUUUUUCUAUUCCAUUCCUUGUUCUAAGGAUGGUCAAUUUAGAAAGAUCAAUCUAGUAAAUCAUGUGGGACUUAAACUAAUAGCCUCCAUUAUGUAAAGUAGAAAAUAUUCUUUAAUCUUCUUUUUUAGGAAUAAGUUUGUUAUGUAGGUCUAAGCUCUAUUGUAACUGAGCUAGUCCUAAUUUAAGUAUAUAGUCUCACUUUUCAUACCUCCUUUUUUUUGCUGGAGCUAUAUAGGUAUGUGAUUUUAGCCUUUAAUCAAUCUACUUAAUUAGCUAGAUGAGAAGAUAUUUAUAUGUAUGUUGAAUCAAAAUCACCAUGCAUGCACUUUUUACUGUGCAUGCAACCAAGUAGGCAUGAGUUAUGCACUUUGGCUCAAUCGCUUUGCUCCGUGAAAGCAAGAAUAGUAUUUAGAAUUAUCUCAGUUGUAAUUCGAAGAACAUAAUAAAAUAUGAACGAACCUAACUACUCGCAUCGACGGGUCAGGCACAAGAUCACAAGAUGAAAAUUAUACUAACUUUCACAAUCCAAAUAUCCAAUUCACCAAUAAUAGAGAGUUUUUUUUUAGAAAUUCUUGUUAGAUAUGUCUUGAAUUCUGGAAUCACAACGUUUUCUAGCCUUAUUCUGUUUUGAUUAUUCCAUUAAUUAAGUUUAAAUAAAAAUAAUCUAAUUAAGAUAUUCCUACUCUUAAUAGAUUUGUAUUUCCAAUCGUAUUAGGAUUUUACCAUUAUUAUAAAUAUACUCUUUAUUUUAUUAAUUUUGGUGUGGCAGAUGAAAGGGAGUGCGGGUGUAUUUUAUUAAUUUUGGUUUUGUGAAAGAGGUAUAUUUUGUACACCACUUUAAUUAUAAUAGAAGACCUCUGCUAUGUCUUCGCUUGUGGAUGUAGGCCAAUGGCCGAACUACGUAAAUAUUGUGUGCUUUAUUUUUCUUCUCUCUCUCUCUCUCUCUCUCUCGAUUCUCUUUUUGUAUUUUCGCACCCAAUAAAUUAGAUCUUUUCCGCUUAUAUCAUAACAAGCUGAUAUCAGAUUUGGGUAUUUAAGACAUCGACGAAGUUUGAGAUUGGAAAGUUUGAUCGCUCCAAUAGUUUCACUUUACGACAAGUUGUCGUUCUGAUGCAAUAGAGGUUGCAAAAGACGCUAUUGGAGAUGAGAAGAUUGGCACUUUAAAGAACUUUGCGGAUUUGCUCAUUAAGUUUUUCGGUGAUCAAGUUCAAGUAUUUCGUAAACUUUUCGCAUAUGCAACAACACUUCAGGAGCUUUUGGAGGUUUUAGUGAAGAAGAUAGAGAAUUCAAGCCAAUGUGAAGAUUGUUAGAUAUGUCUCGAAUUUUGAAAUCACAACAUUUUCUAACCCUAUUCUAUUUUGAUUAUCCCAUUAAGUUUAGAUUAUGCUUAAUCUAACUAAGAUAUUUCUAGUCUUAGUGGAUUUAUAUUCUUAAUCGUAUUAUGAUUUAACCACUAUUAUAAAUAUAUCUUUUAUUCUAUUAAUUUUGGUGCGGCAAAUGAGAGGAAGUAUGAGAGUACUUUUGGGGACUACGGUUUUAUUAAAGAGUCAUAUUUUGUACAUCAUUUUGAUUAUAAUGAAGAUCUUAUUUGCUAUAUCUGCACCCGUGGAUUAGGCCAGUUGCCGAACCACGUAAAUGUUAUAUACUUUAUUUUUCUUCUCUCUUUCUCGAUUCUCUUUUCGUAUUUUCGUGCCCAACGAAUUAGAUCUUUUUCUCUUUUAUCGUAACAACUCUCUUUCUAUCAAAGAGUAUUAGCUAGGAAGAGAGGCUUUUUUGCACUUUGAGAGAGAAAAAUAAAAUUAACAUCUACGUUCACCUUUCUCUUGUUAGAUUAUGUGAAGCGAUAUCCCGAAUCAAUGUCAUGGUGAAAGAAGUCAAAGAUUUGAGGUUUGGAUGUUGGGUAUCGGAAUUUGAAGUUUGUGUCUGGUAUUGAAGAGUUUCUCAGAGUUCCUCAAAAACUGAAGCAUGAAAAAUCUGUUUUUAUACUGCAUAUCGGUACUCAGCUUUGUGAUGGGCUAAAUAUAAUGGAUUUGAUUUCAAUUUGAUAUAAUCUUAUUCCUAAAGAUUAGGGAUGGAGCAGGACACUUUAGAAAGAAUUCAUAAGAGGAGAUCGACAGUUAGAACUGAAUCGGAGACUCGGAUAGACGAUGGAGAGUGUUUCCUACUAGAAUUGGGGUUUUAGAUUAUAUAAACUUUUGUAAUUAAUCUUUUCGAGAUUAGAGCCUCAUUAUUGAAGGAUUUUCAGGUUGAGAGCUCCAUUAGAAGCACUCUAGUUGAAAGAAUAAUGUGAAAAGCUCAUGAGAGAGUUUUUUGUAAUCCAAUCUUACUCAUACUCUUGUGUCGUGAAGUAAUCGUAGAAUACAUUGAGGUGGUCUUACCCGUGGAUGUAGGUCGACUCACCGUUGGCCAAACCACGUAAAUCCUAUGUUCUUAUGUUCUUUUUGUUGAUGCCAAAAUUAAAAUUAACACACGCCGACCUAACCCACGUAUGAGCCAAAGAAAUAAGGACACAUGGUACACCAGGAGUCGGCAAUAAGGCGCCUGAAGGUCAAGAGCGUUUAGGCGGGAACGGUUGAGAAGUGGGGCAUAACUUCCGUGAGAAGUGAGGCGUAACUUCCAUGAGAAGUGGGGUAUAACAUCCAAGAUCAUGUCUACAUCACUUCCCCCACUACUAAAAACCAACCAAUAAUGUAGGCUGAGAAGACAUUACUAUAAAUAGUAACUUCAAAGCCUGUAAUAGGGGUCUUUCUCUCCCCUGAACGAGAAGAUCACCGCAUUUUCAAUACUUUCCUUUCAUGCAUUUAUCGUUUUCUAGGAGUAGUCUACAUGUAAUCUUUUUUAUCCUCAUUUACUGCUUUCCUAGGAGUAGCUUUUAAGUUAGAUCUCUGGAGUCUGUAUGCCCCACGGGCACACUCUGUUGUAAUUUAGAUUUUCAGAGUCUGUAUGCCCUUCGGGCACACUCUGCUUUAUUAAUAUACAAAGGCAUUCGGCUCUUCAAGUCGACCAAUUCUUGUGUUCUUUAGUCAUUCGGCUCUUCGGCCGACCUUAGUUCUUGCUCGAUCCGUACAUUCGGCUCAUCCAGCCGAACCGAAUUUGUUGUAGAGGUUUCGAACCCGGCUGAUCCGAUCCCUCGUCAGCCGAAUCGCUUGAUCAAUCGAAUGGCGCAAACUUCGAGGGUCACUAAUCAUAGCCGUUCCGCAUUCUGACGCGCUUCUCAAGAAGGAUCUUUGACUAGGUCAAGGAUUAGGGAUUUCGGCUAGCAACACUCUUGUUCGUUUUAUUCUUUUGUUAUCCACAUUCUUAUUUUCUACUGUCGUUCUCCAUCUAUUUUCAUCUAUGAAAGAUUCUAUUUUCGUUGCGGUCAUGUGUUGUGUGGGUUUGAGAUGUGCUCGAUAACCCCUUGGCCAGUCCCCUUUAUCUCUCUCAAAUAAUAACUACACGUACAUGCGAAACAACCGUUGUACUCUAAGCCCCCGUUUGGUUGGGGUAUAAGGGGUGGGAUAAGGGGUUAUCCCACCUCUUAUACCCAAAUAAAAAAAAGGGGUGGGAUUGCUAUCCCACCCUUAACGGGUUUUCCGAGAUAACCUGUUAAGGGGUUGGCUCAGCAAUCCCCACCCUCCCCUUCCCCCUCCCCCUCCCCCUCGAAUAGGCCUCCCUUGGAAUAGAGGUGGGAAGGGUAGGAAUAGCUAUUCCCACGCCUAUUUAAUUUUUAAAUUUAAAUUUAAAAUUUAAAAUUUAAUUAUAAAUUUUAAAAAAUUAUAAUUUUUAACCUUAAAAUAAAAAUUUAUAAAUAUAAAUUCUAAAUUUUAAAUUUGAAAUUUGAAAUUAUAAAUUUUAAAUUGAUAUAUUUAAUUUUUUAAAUUUAAAAUUUAAAAUUUUAUAUUUCUAAAUUUAGAUUUGCUAUUAAAUUUAAAAUUUGAAAUUGAAAAUUUAGAACUUUGAAUUUUUUAAUUUGAGGUUUUUAAAUUCAAAUUUUAAUUUUAAAUUUUUAAAAUUUAAGAGUUAUAUAAAUUUAAAAUUUUAAAUAUAAAAUUUUAAAAAAUUAAUUCAAAUAUAAUAAAGAGGGCAAUAUCAUUAUUUUCUAUUUAUAACCAUCUACUAUCCUUUUUAUUUCACUUACUCCAACCAAAUACUAUUUUGCUUAUACCUGGACUAAACCCAAUACUAAACCAAACACAAAAUUACUCUAUACCCACCUUAUACCUUAUCUUAUGCCUAUUCCUGGAGCAACUAGUUCUUACUUAUAUCCGAACCAAAUGAAACCUAAAAGCUGAAGUUAUUAGAGAACGGUAUAUUUUUAUAUUUAACACUCUCCCUCACGUUUGGGCUCAAGACUUUUUUGCGAGGCCCAUGACGUGGACUUGAAUUAAAUGGGAGAAAAUUAAUAAUGCUAGGAGCGUGGCAUGAUUCAAACUCAGGACCUUCUGUUCUGAUACCAUGUGAAACAACCGUUGUACCCUAAAAUUUUAAGCUAUUAGAGAACGGUGUAUUUUUAUAUUUAACAACACAUAGUAUAGAGUGGUUCUUAAACCAACCAAGAAAACCAUCCAAUAUCUUAAUAAGUUGGGUCAGAUUUGCCCAUCAUGGGUGACCUAAAAUCCAAUUCAAAACCAACACACAACCAUUAUCGCCACCACCAUUGUAAGGUAAAUUGUUGUUGUCAACAUCUUCAUUGUCCACAUUAACUCUCAUACAGUACUAACUAAUGUUACAAUGUAAACAGAAGUGACACUUUAUAAAUUUUCUAUAUUCUACAUCAUUCAAUUAUAAACAAAAUUAAAUACAUCAAGUCCAAUCGUAAAUCUCCCAAAUAUUGUGCCGUCACACAUUUUCAAGAAACAUGUACUCUCUUGAUUUGAUAGUAUCACAGUUACCUCAAAAUGUAUGACAAAUUACAGUUCAUCGAAUGAACCAAUUUUCCUGAGAUGGUUCAAAUUUUCAAUCUGAUUGUCCAUCUAUGACGUGAAGGUAUUUGUCCAAUUUAUGAUUUCCAUUGGUGUCAAGUCCAAUCGUCUAGAUUUGAAAUAUGAAGCAAUUUUCCAUUGGUAGCAAAUAAUUAUUCAUUAAGCGGAGGAAAUGGUAUUAUAAUAAGCAAAAAGGUUAUACUAACGGCAGGUAAUUUGCGAAAGAGGGAAUUAAUGGUUGGGAGAACAACAGUGCAUUUUAUAUGUUACCGAUCGAACUGCAGACAACAGACCACCUUUUUGGAGCUAGGGAGUGUAUGUAAAUGUCCAUCUUUUGUUUCUAUAUUUAGGGUUUGAGAGCCCUCACCCCUCAAAGCGUAAAUUAUAUCAGUAGCCCAAACGGGUUUGUGAACUAUGGACUGCGCUAAGGGUCUGUUUGUUUGCAUGGAAGUGGGGUGGAAGUGGGAGGGGGAAAGUGAUUUUCGGUGAAAACUGAUCACUUCCGUUCUUUGGUUCGCUGUAAAUAAGUUACGGUCGAAACUCCGGUUAACUUAAAACGGCGUAAUUAACUUCGGUCCAUCGUGGGCCGAAGUAAAUUACGGUAAAGAGAAGUAAAGAAAAAAUAAUAAAACAAUAUACUAAGUAAAGAUAUAUAGUUAUAUUUAAAUAUAUUUAAUUAUGGUACUAAUUAUUCUUUUAUUAUUUGGCAUAUUUAAAAUAUAACAAAAUUUGAUUAGUUAAGUUUUAAUUUUUUUAUUUAGUUUGUACAAUUAAAAUAUGAUAAAAAAUAAUUAAUUAAGUAAUAAUUUUUUUAUUUUAUAAUUUUAUUGUUAUAUUACUAUAAUUUAUGUAUAAAAAAAUAAUUUAGUUGUUUUAAAUUAAAUUUUAAUUAUAUAAAAAUAUAAUUAUAUUGUUGAUAAGUAACCUAAUAUUUUUGAUAAGUUUAGAUUUAUUUCUGUCAAGUUUAUCUCUUAACCUCUCCUUUCAACAUAUAUUAUUUUUAUUUAUUAAAUUAUUUAUUAUUUAUAUAUAAAUUAUAGUUUUAUAUCAUACAUUUCCUACCAAACAAACAACAGAACUAAUGGAACAUCACUUACAUAACUACAAAACAAACAGCGGAGAAGAAGAAGUUUUCACCAAACUCCACUUCAAACCAAAGUCCAUUUCAACCCAAAGUCCAGUUUCGGUAAAACAAACAUGCCCUAAAAGAAUAGAGGGAGGAUCAAAAGAAGGACCUUACCUUGCUUGUGGCUAAGUAGUGGCACUACACCAGGAGGACUUUUGAUGAGGGCAUUUACGAUUGCCGGAAAAAGUGUUUGAAGUGCCAGUAAAUAUCUUUAGGAAUAGGAGUCCGUUUCCACUCUAGGGUAGUGUUUGGUUCGGAAACAAGGGGGGGAAUAAGUCCUUGUUCACCCCUUUGUUCCCAAACGGUAUGUUUGGUUCCUGGGAACAGUAGUUCCCGAGUUUCUGGAACAAGCUGGUAUAAGGCUGGAACUGCUGUUCCACCCGUUUCCUGGAACUAGUUUGUUACUUGAUGAGAACAAGAUUAAUUAAAAUCUAAAUUUAAUUUUAAUAGCAGUAAAUUAUUAAUUAAUCUAAUUAAUAUAUUUAAAUUAUUAUUUAUUGCUUUAAUAAUUAAAUAAUUAAUUAAUUUAUUAUUUAUAAUUAAUUAUUAAUACUUAUUAUUAUUUAUAAUUAUUUAUUAAUAAUUAAUUUUAUUAUUUAUUUUUAAAUAAUAUUUUGAUGUUAAUUAAUUAUAUAAUAUAAUUUUAAUUUCAAAUUAUAACUCUUAUUUCUUUUGUUCCAAUUUAACCAUCCAAACACUAUUUACCUUAUUCCUAGGAACAACCCAAUUUUCAUCCAAACGUAAAAUUGGUCUAGUUCUUGCUUAUACUUGAACUUGUACCUAUCCCUGGAACUAGCAAUUCUUACUUAUACUCGAACCAAACGUAGCCUAAGUGUUUGAUGGCAUUCAUAAGCUAGCUGUUGAGCUCUUGGGUUGCGUCUCAACUGUAACGAUAGCUCGACAUCAUCCGGUCUUCUUUUGCCGUGUAUCUCCUCCGCAUUUGUCUUAUUUUCUGUAGUUGAAUUCUUUUCUUUAAUGAAUGAAGUGGCUAGCUUGCUAUCUUUAAUUCUUCAAAAAAAAAUAAAAACCAUCUCUGAUAUGGUUCUGUAAAAACGAUAUCGUGUUGAUUACGUAGCUACUUGACUUGAUGAUCCAAACUCAAUUAGCUAGAUCACACCCAAUAAUGCCAGCUCAAGAGGAAUAGAUUAAAUAUCAUUUUUUUGCAUGACAUGAAUCCCACUUGGUUUAGUAGUUUUGUGUAAUUAUCAUUACUUUAUAGGGCCUACAUGUAUCCUUUUCCAUAGACAUAGAUAAUGCUUGCACAGCUUUCUCUUUACAUAGGUCAUUGUGAUUUUACUUGGUUUGUGGUCCAAUAAGGAACUCUACAUCAAUUAACAUCCAUUAGUGUCGUUUAUGGACCACCUAUAUAAUGUUUUUAAUUAGCGCAUUAUAGGGAAGGGUGGUAACUUCCAAAUAAUGGCCAUUUGUGAUGAAGCAAAAUGACGAUUAGUGUCUAAUCAUUUUUCGUCCGUAGGCGAAUGUUUAAUCAGCAAGUAAGCUAGUUUACUUGUGUACGUAAUACAGCUAUUUAGUGGAUUUGAUCUGUUCAAGAAUAUUGUAGCUGCCUUUUUCGUUAUUAUUAUUAUUAUUAUUAUCAUUAUUGUUUUUUAAUGUGAUAGCUUUAGACCUUGUCAUCAGCUAGGAUGGUUCUUUAUUACGCAAGGCUAGAGAAGACACAGUGCAAAUCUUUAUUUAAUUAUUUCGUGAUUAAUGACAUGCAUGAUAGAGCAUAUAUAGGGUUAUGUGUUUCUCUUGGUUCCCUUGAAGAGUGAAACUAUAAGUUGCACGAAUGAUUGAAAUAGUAGAUACAACACACAGUACUAUUUAAUGGUUGAAUAAGGAAUAUGUAGUAUAUGUGAUCUUAAAUCAGCACAACCAAGUUGCUAAAUGUAUAGUAAAGAUACAUGAGCUGAUUGGCAUGGACUUAAGAAAAAUUGUUUGUCUAGCCCGUGCGGGGCUCGCCUUCUUUCGUGAAGCAAGCUUACCUCUCUAGUUUGUUAGUUUGAACCUACUUGCCCUAGAACUUAGUACAAGAAAGAGAGAGUUUGAGUGCAAUUGAUUUCCUCAAUCUCUGUUUAUCUUGUACUUAGUCCUAGGCCAAUAGGUCCAAACUAGCAAGUAGAGUGACAUGAUGUUUCAGUCAGUGACACGAAUAAAGGCGAGCGCCGCACAAACUUGACGAGCAAUUUUGUUUCAGUCAGUGACAUGAUGCGAAGUUUUCAAUCAAGACUAUAACCACCAAUCUUUGUGCUUUAGAGUACCUUUUAUGCUACGUACCUUCUAUUGAAGAUUAGAGAUAAAUCGUAAUAGAGUUUUUUGUCGUAUUUCCUUCUUGUUUUAAUGCCUGAAAGGAGAUAUAAAAUUGUGCAGAACCAUCCUGAACUUAUUAACUUCGUUUGGAAUCGCGUACGUAUAAACUUUGUUUAUCUUGAUUGUAGCUGGCUAAUCUUUAGUCACUUGGUUUGAGACAUUUAAUGACAACAAAAGAAUAGUUGCAUGCUCUUGACGCAUAUAAACAUCAAUGCACCCAUCUUCAUGAUUAUCCUCCAUCGCAUCUGACCCUGCCAAAUUAAAAACAUAUUCUCUCUGUUAAAAUCGGAACGACAAAAAAUAGAUCCAGGAAAAAUACUUAAUGCACGAAAAGAAAAAGAAAAGAGGAAAGAGCACACCGAUAUUUUAGGUAGUUUGUCCAACGGCCUACGUCCACGGACGAAGACGGAGCAAAUACUUUAUUAAUGUCAAAAGGCGGAGUACAAAGAAGAUCUCUCAAAGAACCAAAACUUAAUUAGAUCGAAAACGCCGAAAUCCGCAUCCGUACAAGCGACUCCAAAUAAGCAGCUCGACUCCUCAACCGUACGGAUGGACCACCAAAAGCUUGAUUUAAUUUGCAUGGCUCUCUUACUUUGAGUCACCGCAUCGUUAACUAGGCCGUAGCAUGUAUAUAUAAUACAUGUCUCCCAACUAGUGUCUAAUCCUAAUUCAAUUAGAAUUAAACUCCUACUUAUAAUCCAUAUAUGCCAAAUUAAAUCUAAAUUAUAUCUAAUCUUAAUUAGAUUAGGAUUUAACUUCAAUUUAGAUAACUACAAAUCUAAACCAAAUAUAACAAUCUCCAUCUUGGUUUAAUUUGUAGUUUAGCCCCCACGAUGUCGAGGUCGCCACAAAACUUGAAAAAUAAGAUAAUGAACUAUAAACAAAGUUUUCAGUAGGUACGGGCAUCCAAGAGAAUAUUCUAACUUACCAGACCUAAAGAAGGCAAUAUAAGCAUAAUCAUAUAAUGAAUAGUCAACUGUAGUAUAUAAACAUGUAUAUCUACUAUGUACAAAAUAAAUAACUAUACUUAUGCCUCAACUAAUAAGAUAAUGAACAUUACAUUUAAUGAUUCAUUUCAUUAUUUUACUGAUCAUUUUCAUUACCCGGUUCUCUGACAUCCCCUAAACACAACUUCCUCCUGAUCCGGUUCUCUAAAAGUCACCGUUCAAUUCUCGCAAUCGAUAGUGGCAAAAUACUUGGCAAGCUAAUCCAUACCCAAAACCACAUCAAACUCUCCAAGUUUAUGCAGUGCUAACAAAUCCACGGGCAUGAUCCAAACCCCUACCCGAACAGGGCAACUGGGGCAAAACUCCCGGAUAUCCAAAGUAUGGUCGGGUACAACAACACGUUCAGGAUACAACAUAGAUACAAGUGGGAUGCAAUGCAACUCGGCAAACAGCCGAUCUAUGAAUGAAUGCGAUGCACCAGUAUCAAAUAAAGCUCGAACUCUUAUGCCAUUUAAUAAAAUGAUAUCUGCUACCACAUCCUCGGCUGCUGCCGUCUCUUCUGUCUAGACCGCAUACAUGCGUCCGCUCGGAGCCUGACGCGACCCCUCAGUCUGACGUUGAACAGGGGGUCGGCUGGUCUGGUAGUGUGUCGAUGGCGUCCCCUGGCUCGGAGCUGAUGAUGAAACAGCCGAUCUAUGAAUGAAUGCGAUGCACCGGUAUCAAAUAAAGCUCGAACUCUUAUGCUAUUUAAUAAAAUGAUACUUGCUACCACAUCCACGGUUGCUGCAGCCUCUUCGGUCUGGACCGCAUACAUGCGCCCGCUCAGAGCCUGACGUGACCCCUCAGUCUGACGCUGAACAGGGGGUCGGCUGGUCUGGUAGUGUGUCGAUGGCGUCCCUUGGCUCGGAGCUGAUGAUGCAAGUGCCGACACAGAUGACGGCGCUGGAUGUGAACCUCUCUGGCACUCUGACCGAAAAUGGCCCUCGUGGCCACAAAGAAAGCAUUUGCCCCUAGGCUGUGGACACUACGGUGGAAGGUCGGGACCACCGCAGAUCACACACUGGGGAGGUUGGCAACGGUCAGAUCCUCUUCGUUGAGUAGAAGAGCCGCGCCCUCGGGACUGGCUCCUCGGGUGCUUCGGCGGCCUCCUAGAGUGCAUCUGGCUGCCACUUUACUCUUGUCAAGGCUUUCUUUGCACUUCUGCACAUCCGCCGCGCCUCUUUCCACGAUAAGCGCACGAUUCACCACAUCCCGAUAAGUCUGCAAGUUCGAUGACUGGACGAAGCGGAAGAUCGACGGCCGAAGGCCCAUCUCGAAAAUACGAGCCUUGUUUUCAUCAUCCCGUACGACGAAAGGCACACAAUGCAGGAGCCGGGAGAACUCCCGCUCAUACUCAGCUACGGUCCGGUCUCCUUGGCGCAAGUUGCGCAAGUCCCUUUCCAUUUGUCUCUUGACACUUUCCGAAAAAUAGGCCGACAACAACAGUUCCUUAAACCGCUUCCAUGUGAUCGCCGACAAAUCCGUGUUGGGGUUAUCUCGGAUGUCCAUCUACCAACGGAAGGCUUCGCUGUCUAGGUGGUGAGUGGCGAGCCAAACUCUAUCCCUCUCCUCCCCGAAGGUAUCAUAUAAUAGCUUCUCCAUAUGUAUCAACCAUUUCUCCACGAUCCAAUGGUCGGCUUCCUUUUCAUUGAAUAUCCGAGGAUUGCACCUCCUAAACUCAUUGAGGCGAUCCAUAAGGCGAUCUCACUCCUCCCCGGCAACCAUCAUAGGGAAAAUCGUCCCCGCCGGAGGCACCUGAACAGGCAGUGCCGCCACAACCUCCUCUUGAGGCUCAGUACUAGGCGCUGCUCGGGACGUACUGAGCGCGGGUGACGGCGCCCUUGCCGGCACAUCCUCUACCGGCUGGGUGGUGUGGGAUCCUGAGUGUCACGCCCUGGAUUUCAGCGGAAGCUCACCGGUCGCGUGCACAGAUCCGCCGUGUACACCACAACUCAUGUAUACACCAGGCGUCUACAAAUAGUAUAGUAAAAGAUUUUGACUAAGGUAUCUGCACCGACUUUGUUGCAAAAAGUACCCAGUGGAGGUACGCCGACGGAAUCAUAGAGUCAGAUACGACGGCAGGGAUAACUACUGCAGGUAGUACUUUAUGCACUACCACGGGGCCAUUAGGCACGGCGCGGCUUGAACUUAACUUGUGUAAGUCCGUUGGAAAUUGGGUUAUGUCAAGUUUACACUGAGCCUCCCUAGCAGCUGACUGCUGAAGCAAUAAGUCCUCCAGUUGCUUCAUCCGCGCCUCCUGUUGGCGUGCCGCAUCGGCUUGCUGCUGAGCCGCCGCCACCUGCUGUGCCACUAGGUCCGUCAGAACAGAAAGCUGGGUCCUUAACUCACGGACCUCAUUGGAUCCGGAGGUAGCGGAGGUCUCCACCUCCUCAAAGUUUGCCGCGUUGUUCGCUCCAGCUGACUUAGAGUGAGUCGUUGGCAUCGCAAGCUACACAUCAUAAAAACGCAAGUUAGUAAAACCCACGCUAUCGUAACUCCACUUGAAGGAAUAACACCCGAAUCAUGCGAAAGUAAUAAAGUGAGGCUCACCAUUAACUCCUGAUGUUACGUUGUCGGCCGCCAACGUACCCCCACACGAAGUUGGAAGUUGCACACUUCGAUUAAACUCCAACAUUUUAGAGUUAAUUCAAAACCCGAUCAUAAUACUUUCGCUCAUAAGUUAAAUAGACCCCGUCUCUCACGAGUCUAUUUUCUAUAGUCCAACUGGCCUAAGGUUUGCUAGGUUCACUAAGACUCAAUCAUAGGCUCUGAUACCAAUAUAAUCUGUCACGCCCGGGACCCAGCGGAAGUCCGCCCGGUGCGUGUCUAGACCCGCCAUAUGCCUACAACAUAUAAGGCAUCUACAACAAUACGAUGAACAAAACAGAGAAAUAAAAACAUCUAGUAUGAUACAGAGCAUAAAUACUGCUAAUCUCUAGAGACAAAUAGGAAAAUAAAACUGAACAACUAAGAUAAACCAUAAGGUAAUACAUACAUCUCAAGGCUCACGAGAAUAAAAAUAAAUACAAAAGUAGUGGUCUCUAUAUAUCGGGUACAAAACGUCUCUCUCCAACUAAAACAAAAGGAGAGAUGACCAUCUAGCAAAAUCACCGAGCUAUCUAGCUAGAUGCGACCGCCUUGCUGCGAUCCCUAGCAUCUUCCGGCGUGGAUGGCUCUGUAAAUAAAAACAUAAAUAAAAUGGGAAUGAGAACUAUUAGUUAAUAGUUCCAAGUGGGUAAGCCACCGAUAUCAGCAAAAUACACCACUAGGUCAUGGAGUCAUGAGUAGUAAAUAACAUAUCUCGAUAAACAACAUGAAUAGUGAGCAAGUAAUAAGAUUUACUAAGCUACUAUGCCUCUACUUAGCAUGAAGUUUCACAAUUAUUUGAGCUAUUCUAACAUGAAUGAGCAUGUCCAACAAGUAUGCACUAUCUAGUAGCAAUGUCCACAUUUUACUUUAAUUGUCAUUAUUCAAUUUCAGCUAGAAUCUACAUAAGUAUAGUCCGGCUUGCGCCGUACCUAAUGGCCCCGUGGUAGUCAACAUUCCCCAUUUAGGAAUGAGUCUCCCCCACGACAUUCCAUUUCGGCGCCCAAUCCCUCACGGGCGAGCAUGUGUCACGUAGGCUAACUCCGGAGUGCCGGCUUGUGAGCAGCGACCCUCACAAGCAUGUGCGAAUGAGCACAAUGGCAAGCAAGCAUAAUCAUCUAUAUCGAGUCUUCGGUCAUCAUGUCUAAAAUAUGGUACAACUACUAAUGACCCUUCGGUCGAUCUCUAUGUCAUAAUGUAAAGAUUCAACCGUUUACUAAAUCAAGUGUCACUAAAUGACAUUAAUGAUCACUAUGUUAAGCGUAAGUCAUUUGUCCAUAAGCAUGUAAAACUUGUCAUUUUACUAGUCAUAGCAUGGUUUCCAACAUAUGGUAUAAUGGUUGUCCUUUCAUAUGCAAUUCUAUAUAUAACUAUCACUCUACUAUAUAGAAGAGGUAAAACAUGACAUAUGACAUAUGCAUCUUAGGCAUCCACAAAUUUAUUUAUACUCUAUCUAGCAUGAAUAUGCAUGAUUUUUUAUUUUACAAUAAAGAUAAUGACGUAGGAGGAGUUCGCUCAUUUCGGUGAGGUCAAACCCACUGGAUACCCCUCGAACCCCUUUGUUUGCACAAACGAUGUUGCCUACUAGUCUCCUAACUCCCUAACAAAAAUUCUAAGAGGGUUAGGGGCUUCGAACGAACACCCCACGAAAUCCUCAGAAAUCAACCCAUAAAUAGGUAGAAAUAUACCUUGUAUGGCUAAGAACUCUCCCAAGGUUCCAAUGAGAGUCAGAACACUUCAAUUCCAACCUAAAGGAAGGUAUUAGAACCAUCAAUUUAGCCUCAAAGGCUCUACCAAGAGAAACCCCAAAAUAAAACCCUAGUUUCCAAAACUAGGUUUUCAUCCAAAAAAUUCAUCACAACACAAUCCAAAGGAGCAAUAUGUGCUACUAACCUCUCAACAAGAACCAAACUAAGCUAAGAAGAUGCUAGGGUUGAAGAUCUUUCCUCAACAAAGCUCUAAUCUUCACACCAAAGCUUCUCCAAGUUGAGAGAACCAACACCAUGCAAAGAGGAGAGGAAAAGAGAGAUCAAUCCACCAAAUCUCUUGCAAAAGAGAGAAAAAAUCAAAGAGAAGAAGAGGAGGGGGCUUACCACCUUUCUCCUCUGGUUUUCAGCAUAAGGAACCCUGAUGAGGGUGUGGGGUUAUUUAUAAAGAUGUAACAAUCCCAAAAGGCCCCCCAAAAAUAAGCAGUCUGCGAACUGCACUGCGUACCGGUACUUGGGUUGGAGUACUGGUACCCGGCAACCAGACUCGCGCAACCCGAGCCUCUGCUAAGCAAACAGCUCGCAGUAUACCGGUACCCGCACAAUGCAGUACCGGUACCAGACUCCAGUACCGGUAUUCGGACAAGUCAAUACCGGUACUCUGCCUCGUAGAGCUCAAACCCGAGAGCACCCCUCUCGGUGGCGCGACGGGGUUCCGGUACCCCUCUGUGGCACCAGUACCUAGCACCCCAAAACCUGCAGUUUGGAGGUUUUAGUGCUAAGUACCCGCUCUCGCUUCUCAAGACACGAGUAAAUAGGUCGAAACACAGUCUACGACCCUCAAACACACUAAGAAUAGUACUAAAUACUAUUAAAACACUCUAUACCUUUCAAUUUGCUAAAGUUCAGUGUGCUACAAAAAUGUAUUCCAAUCCUAGUAUAAUUAGAAUUACUAUUCUAAAUGAUAUCUAAAUCCACAUUAUUUUAUCUCUAAUAGAUUUAAAUAUUUAUCCUAAUUCAUUAGAAAUCAACUACGAAGCUAACCAAACUCUAACAAUCUCCACCUUAGUUUGAUUUGUCUACUUCAACUACUGUGUCAAGCUUACCAUGCAAUCUCCAGUUUGAGCUUAUCUCUUCUACUCGGUGUCACCGUAUCCGCCGCUCCAUCUUGAGUGACUUCAUCUCUGCAAACUUUUGGAACCCAAACUGAUUUUGCUUCUAUUCUUAUUGUGUUCCCAUUCAGAACGUAUAAGUUUCUAUACUAGUUCGCCUCGUACAUGACCGGAUCUUGCUUUUGAACCCUUAUAGCUCCACGUGUAGCUAAAAAAUCGCAACCUUUCGAGUCCAACACAUCUAGCAAGAUCAAAUUUCGCCUCAAACCAGGAAUAUGCUGCACACCUGUCAGCAUUCUCACAGCCCCAUUAUGCAUCUGGAUCUUCAUCAUGCCAAUUCCUAAAACUUUGCAUAUUGUCCCAUUCCCUAGAAGAGCUUUUCUACCUCUAAUUGUGUCACACCCCGUGCCCCACCUAUUUUGUCAGGUUCGGGCACGCCAACAGACUGCCGAACGGAUAGGGUUUUUCCUGUACGUCCAAGAUGUCGCAAUCAAUAUAAUGCACGAAGUUCCAACCAGGAACACAUUUCAACCAAAGAUUGCAUAAGGAAGUAUCAAAAAUAUAAAACAACUAAGUUAUUGCAACAUUCAUCUUUAGGUGCGUUUUACAUCACAAUUAUUAUCACAUUUUUCCAACCUCAGAAUGCAAUCCAAGUUACAAUGAUUUAUUACAAGUUUAAUUCAUUCAUCUUGUUCUUUUCAUUUUUCUCUACCCCUAGGCUAUGCCGACUCGGGGUACUGCUAUCUCUGGUCUCUGGUUAGGACGCUAUCUACCGAGCUACGCUCUUGCCUCGCGCCGCCGCGCCGCUCACGUACAAACUUGUAACACUCCAAAACAACGUGGAGUGAGAACCAACUCCAUGGUUCCCAGUGGGUACGGCCACCCAAGAAAAAAGCUCGACCAAUAGGUCCAAGGAGGCACUGCAAUCAUGUUAGUCCAAAAACAUCUACAGAUAUAUAUCAUCAUGUUAUUAUGCAACUAACAGAUAACAUGCCUCACGAAAUGCAAUAUGAACAUUAUGUAAAUCCUGUAACUCAUGCAAAUAGAUUAAUUGAUUCUACUUCAUAUUAUUAGCCAUUCUUUACUUGUAGCCGUUUUUUACUUUAUUAGCUAUUCUUAUUCGUUAGUCGUUCUUUACUUUAUUAGCUAUUCUUAUUGAUUAGUCGUUCUUUACUUUAUUUUCUUGUCACACUAUGCUCAUUGGCGAUUCUUUCCUAAGGUUACCUUUACCUUAGCCAUCUGUGCCACUCGACUUGGUCUUGAGUCAAUCAACUGUGGAUAAUCCGCGCUCUGUCCAGCUCGAGGUGAAGUAACUCUCACAUGCACCUCAGCCAACUACAGCCCACCGCGCUCUAUGACUUAGCACCCGGCGGCGAAAUCGUCGCACACGCCUUGACAAUGGCUCAAGUCAACCGGCGAUAUAAUCCACAAACCGACUUAACCAUCCGGCGGCGAAAUCGUUGCACACGCCUCGAAAUGGUUUAGCCCCGGGCGGGGAAAUCAUCACACACGCCCAACACCACUCUCGGUGUUCCAAGUCUUGGGAUUCCAGAAUCCAUUUCCACAUAGCUCAAGGGUUGGUCUUAACCCUAUAGUGUCGACCUAUCUAGAUCCAAUGUCCUUUCUAUCCUAGGUCCCAUUAACACUAGGCUUGAUGCUUUAUCACAUAACCUAGGUUUACUUUAACUCUAGGUUUAUUUCACAACCUAUGUUCUUUAACACCAGGUUCAUAUUCAUUCUUAUCCAUCCUAGGUUUAUGUUCAUAUUCAACCUAUGUUCAAUAACACUAGGUUCGGUGCCACACUUAUCCAACCUAUGUUUAUUAACAAUAGGUUACAUGCCACACUUGUUCAACCUAUGAUUAUUAACACUAGGUUCAAUGCCACUCGAUCUACUUAACAUGCUAGUUGUCCAACCGAGUAUUUUACAGUUCACAUGCAUAUAUAAUCUAGCACAUCCUCAUAAUGCUAAUCAUUUAUGUAUUAUUAUGCACUCUCCUAGCAUCAUAUACUCAUGCAUUCGUGCAACUUUCUAGCAUUUAUAUAUUAUGCUCGUCAUGCAUUCUAGCAUUUCUACAUCACGUUAUAUGCAUCUACUUAGCAUUUAAUAUUAUGUCAUUGACAUGCAUUCUCUUUAGCAUUUACUACAUACAUCCAUCUAGCAUUUACAUGCAUCAAUAUGAAACCACAUUACUCUUAGACAUAGAGGCGACCUAGUCGCUUCGGUAAACACAACCCACCUCAAAACGCUUUCCGAUUGCUUGUAGUCACUUGCAAUCGGCUUCCUGCGGCACCCGUGAUCCGGUUCGGGCCGAACUCUCGCGUGACCACCCAAACGGCCACCAAUCCACGAUCCGAAAAUUAAAGGUCUACGGUUAGUUGCCACGAGCCCACGAUUCCGAUUUCAUAAUUUUUGGACGUCGCCUCGACCCUCCAGGCGGAAACGAAGCUUUAACGGUCCGUUUCUUCAAUAACUUCGCAUAGGCUUGACGAAUCGUCGAACUGACUUCACCAACGCGUUCAUGUACCUAGCAAUUAGGUUUGUAUAAGGUUAAUUUACAUUUAAACCCACCAAUGAUAAAAGUCUCAAUUUUGGUACCAUAAUAAUGUCAUAUAGCAAGAUUUCUUGGAUUGAUCUUGGAGCUAAGCAACAACAAGCUUAGAACCAUCCAAGAAGCUCUCUAAUACUAUUUCUAACUCGUUUGAACCAAUCCUAGGGCAUCUAGAGCUAACCCUAGGAGUUCACCAUGCGAGGACCUUGAGAAACCAUGGAUUUCAUGGUGCUCAUGCCACAAGAGAGUUUCUACACAUGUAAGAAGUCCAAAUCCAAAAGCUCUAGAGUACAAAACCAAACCCUAGCCUAGAUCUUACAUGGAAACCUCACCUUAGCCCAAAGCUCACCAAGCAACACCUUGUAGGAGAGCCUCCAAGCUUCAAACCCUCCAAUUCUACCUUCAAUCUCCUCCUAAUCCACCUUUGAUUUGAGUUUCUAGAGAGAGAGAGAGAGAAAUAAGUGUAGGGGGAAGCUUCACAGCUGCUGUGAAGAUGGAGGUGUUGGGGUUAUUUUAUAUGUUGCUACAAUAGCAACAAAACCCCCCAAAACUUCUUAUUUGCAGCAGACCAAUUUUGUGCUGUCAGCCCAAAGUGUACCGGUACACUUUCUCGUGUCACUAGUAACACGAUCUCGUAUGACCAAACCCAAGAGCAACUCCCUCAGGUCUGGGGCAUUUGUACCGGUACACUUUCAUUUUGUACCAGUACACUUAUCUGUACCAGUUACAACUCGAUCGUUGUACCGGUACACUUUACCCAGACUUAGUUUUUUGCUCCGUUUCGAUUCUAUUUCGCACCGAACAACGCUAAAACCUUUCCAACUCAUUCUAAACUCACUUUUAACCCUUCCAACCUUGUUGGAAUGUUAAAUAGAACUUGUCCAACUGUUUCUUUCGGGCACUUCGGCCAAUUUGGCUAAAGUCCAAUAUUUUCCACCGACAUUUCGGUAUGUUACAAAUUGCCUUAUAGGUGACAAAAGACUCCUUCUCUGGGUGGACAUAAAUGAAAACGUCGAACCGAGCACCCACGCAUAAUUCAAAUUUUCGCACCGCUAGUCGCCACAUGCAGUACAUGAGAAUCGAUCACCUCAGAUUCUACUGCCUGUGCCAUCGCUAAUGUCUCCUCAUACUGGUCCAUGAAGUUUUUCCCUUCUGCCAUUUUAGGUCCUUCGGUUCAUUCUGAAGUUUUCGACAGUUGUGCUUGAUGUGCCUUUUCAUGUGAAAGUAGAAGCACUCCACCUUUGAUUGCGGCUUCUUUCCUUCACCUCCGAUCGCCGAUAUUUUUGCCUAUUUCUUUGCUUUUACUACAAGAGUAGUAUCCUCAUGACUCUAUAUGAUGGAUUCCUAAGUUGUCUUCCACAUCUCAUAUGAGAGAAGCGAAGCCAUGAUUGCCUCCACGCUUAUAGUCUCCUUGCCAUAAAGCAAUGUGGUCACUAGAUACUCAUAUGCCAUCGAUAACGAAGAUAGUAAAAUCAGUGUCUUAUCCUCAUUAUCCAAAUUGACUCUAAUACUAGUCAAUUGGGCCACCAUCUUGUUGAAUUCGUUUAGAUGCUCAUGUAGGCUCAUCGUUUCUUACAUCAGCAGCGUGAAUAGUCGCUGCUUCAGAUACAACUUGUUCAUCAAGGAUUUGGUCAUGUAUAGAUCUUCUAAUUUUUUCCACAACUUCGUCGGUGCUGUCUCGCUGGCUAUGUUAUAAAGAACCUCAUCUGAUAAAAACAGAUAAAGCAUACUCAGCGCCUUCUGCUCCAUCUUUUUCCACGCCACAUCUGUGACCUCUACCGACUUUGCCUCUUUCCUAUUCAACGUCUUAUCCAACUCUUGUUGUACAAAGAUUACCCGAACUUUAAUUUGCCACAAUUUGAAAAUGUUCUUGUUGUCGAACUUCUCAAUUUCCAAUUUUUUGUGGCCAUCUUCGUCAAUCUCUUUCGAGAAUUGGUAACCUUAAGCUUUGAUACUAAUUGUUGGGAAUCUAGUACUCGCUUUAAUACCAGAUUUUGAGAAUCAGCAAUCUACUUUGAUACUUACUAUUGUUAAUCUGAUACCAGUUGUUGGGAUUUCACAAUAAAAGUAUCAAAUCAAAUUUUUACCAUAAACCCACCUCCUUGGCAAAAGCUGACAAAACCAGAAAAGAGAAGAAAUCAAAAAGUAAUAUAGGAAAAAUAAAAUUCACUAAAUAAGAGAGAUUACACUUGAUUAUUUUUCUGUAAUAGAGUAGCUUUAACCUGAGCCCUUUUUUUCUGAAUCUCUUUCACCCUUCUCUUGUCUUUUAUAAACCUAAAGACUCUUUCUCUCAUUUUCUCUCACAUGCAUCUGUGCACAAGGUGUCAGAUCGUUGACGCUAACUAUUAAUCACAAAAGCUCGAGCUGUUAGAAAUACGCAACCAAUUCACUUCAAGCGUACAGACCCAGCGCCUGCGGAUCUCGAUUAUGACUCAAUCCAACCAGCAUUAUGCCACUUCGAACAUGACUCGGCCCAAACCUGCCUUACAUUUUUUCGAAUGUGACUUAGCCUACUUGGCCUCCCGCCACAAGGUAGGAUACUGGCCCAUUUAAGCCAAUAAUCCCCCCUCCAGCACCUGCACAAAUUCUCAGCAUGCGAGAAUCGAACCAUGACCUCUGGCUAGGAAUGUAAAACGGGCCAGGCGGCUAGGGCCAAGCUAUAGCACGGCAUGGGUGUUGUAGCACCCGUGUCGGCCCGGCCUGACCCGAGCUUUCAGGCCGUGCUGGGCCUUUUCUCUUGAGCCUGAUGGCCCGGCAUCACAUGGCUCGAAAUAGGCUUGGGUUUUGCCGGGCCGAGGAGAGGCCGAUGAUGUAGUGUCCGUAGGUAAUAAGUGUCGGAAUGGCUAUACUAUCAGCGACCUCUCGUCACAUCUGUCGAGUGUCGGAAUGAGUUGGAGUCAUUUUGAUGCAGAAUGGAUGCAAAAAUGGACUCGACGCACACAAAUAAGCCAAAACUGAAGUUCUGCCAAUUUAGGGCGCCCAAAAGUGGUUUAGGGCGCCCAGAUCCUAAGUGCUGUUUUGAAUUAUAUGCUGAAGCCAUUUUGGACCUAGUUUAGGGCACCCGAAAGUUGAGCCUGAAAGUUUAUUUCGUGGGUAUCGAACGUGCUAACACGUGGCCUUGGGAGGUGAGAUCCGCCCGAACCGGAUAGCGAAGUACGGAUUGCCGGGAGGAGAGCCCGAAGUGCUGAAUUGUGCAGGUUGGAGAAAGUGGGCGCCCAGUUCUGGGUUUAGGGCGCCUGAAUCCUGGAAUUCCAACAGAGUAACAGGUUUGCAUUUAUUAUUCUUGGGGCUUAGUGUACCCUACCUAUACCUCUAUAAAAGCAAUUGGACGACCCUAGUGAACUCUUUUCUCCUCUUCUUCACAGGGAGCUCUAGAUCUUUGCAUGAAACCCCUCCAAUUCCCUCAAAUUCCAUCAUUUUUCAUUAAGGACUUAGAGAUUCUACAGAAUUCCAACAACAACCUGGAUAAAUUGUGGAAGUGUGCUUAGUGGGAGCUUCCAUUUGCUGUGGGGAGUGAUUUCGUGGAUAGAAGACUUGAUGGAGAGUAUGUGGGAUCCUUUUAACAGCUUUUAAUCUAGGUUUGUAAGGUUGAAUUGCUGAAUUUCUUGACGAUUUGGUGUUUUGAGCUAAAAAUUGAGAUUUUUGUGGAUUCUUAGAUCCGAUUCUUGCAGAGACUGGAUUUUUGGACUUGGAUUUGUUUCUUCGUCUUCUUCACUUAUUUAGAAGUUAUUCCUCACCAAAAUUUUAGAUUUUAAGGUAAGUAUAGCUCAAAUUUUGGAUGAAUUGAGCUUAUAAUGCAGUUUUUGAGGUUUUGAUGGAGAUUUUUGGAUUUGUAAGUCCAGAUUUUUGGUGGAGGGUUAUUGUUGGAUUUGGAUUGCUUUUUCCCUUAGCUUUGAAGGUUUGUGACCUUAUUCCAUGGGUUUUACAAGUUGAAAUUCUUAGAGUUGGGCUGGAACAAGCAAUUGCUUGUGUGUAGAAUUCUGGAUCCUGAUUUGGACCCUCUUUUCUGGAUCCAGAUUAUAGAGACUCUUUGGCUAUUUAGGAGCUUGAUCCUUGUGUGGAAACUAAGGAUUAGCUUUAUUGCAAUCAAAAGGUGAGUUUAGUUGGAUUAUUUCUACUUAAAUUCUUGAAUUUAAGCUCGGUUUGGAAUUCAAACUCGUGCUGUUUUUGGGACUGCAUCCAGAAGACUGAAUUGAUGUUCUGGGCACCGAGAUCUUCUAGAUCCUUGCGGUGGAGCUGAUUUGUAUUAGAGUUGAGUUAACUGCUGCACUUUUGAGUGAAGACUUUUAUUCAACAGAUUGGAUUAGCGCUUCAGGUGGGUUAAUGUUGACCGAACACUUCGGAAUUCCUCCUAAGUUUUAUAGCAUUCAGUAUGCAUAAUUAAGUGUUAUUCAUCAUGUUAGUAGCUCAUAUUUGUAGAUUUGCAUUACAUAGUAUGAAAUCUAAUUUUGGUGCAUUAAUUUAUGACUUUAGAUGAAUUUUGCAUGAUGAACUGGGAUUUGAUUUAGGAGAAAACUCACGAAACCUACACACUUCAUUUUUCGAAAAAGUUAUUAGAUUUAGCUUCAGGAGCUAUUUUUAAUUUUGUAUCAUUGUUGUUAGUGUGAGGUGGAUACUUAGAUUAGUGUAGAAUGAAUUUACACUUGUGCUGAGAUGCCGACCGAUUUUUACAGCAAAGUUUAAUCUGUUCCGUAUUGUCGGGUAUCGUCGGGGCAGGCGGUGGACCUAGAUCUUUUCCUUUUCUUGUAGAUUAUGUCUUGGGCAUGCGAGCCUUGGUUGUUAGAUCAGUUUGACCUAGUUGUUUUGAUUUUAGCCUGCAUGAGCCUGAUUGAGCUCGAUAGAGACACACUUGCAUACUCGGUUGGAUCGCGCCCAUGAGUGCUGUUCCGGAGUCUUGCUUUCUUGCGUUAAUGUCGCAGCAGUACCAUUUGGGCAAUGUUACUUGGACUGGCCACCCACGUGGGUGGUGUGUGGUGUAAUUUGGGUGCAGGCUGGACUGGCUAGUUGGCGGUCCCUUAGGAUUAGGUCAGUAGUGACUGUUCAUAGCUAGUGAUGCAUGUGUCUACAAAGAGCAUGACAUGGGUAGUGGUAGUGUAGGGACAUUUUAGCUGUAGAGUCUCUUCCAGCUCAGUUUACUAUUCUUUUACCCACCAGUUUUCUUGUUAGCCUUAUAAACUUAGUGGACAGGCUGUUAGGAUCGGCGAUGGUACCUACUGAGGACUACUUUGUUUUAUAGUAGUUCUCACACCCGCUGUUGUCAUUUUUUCUUGCAGAGCUGUAGGUUGCCGCUGCUGCUUCCGAUUGAAGUAAGGGAGUCGUGAGCUAGAUCCCUGUCUACCUGGUCAUCUUACUAGUGGAGUACCCUAUUUCGGCCUAGUUACUUUUGAGAGUGGCCAUAUACAUACAGUCAUGUUUACUUUUGUUUUCUGAGUUGUUGUUGUACUUUUGUGUAUAUAGAUGUAUUUUGGAGACGUGUAUGUACAAUUGGCUUUAUCUUUAUAUAUAUAUGUUUCAGUUUUAACAGCUAUGUGCUCUCUUGUAGUUGUACUUAUCUAUUUACAGGUUCAGCUAUUGCUUCGUAUGCACGAAAUUUUUUUUGUAUACGAUGGAUCUGUUGGCAAGCCCGGGGAACAUAGGAAUUCGAGGCGUGACAGGUGACCCGACAGGCACGGCCCGCUUGGGCCGUACUAGCCAGGCUAGCACAGCCCGAACCCCUAGGCCCAAGGCAAGUUGCCUUCGGCGUGGAGUCUGAUCUCCUACCUAGGAGAUUUCCUCCCAAGGUCUGCCUAGCAGACUUUGGGAGGGUUGGUCUUGGUCCAAUGGACCAAAACAAUUUUGGUCCAUUGGACCAAAAACACAUCUUAAUUCUUUUUUUCCAAAAAAAAAUGCAAAUAUAGUAUAUUUUAAAAUUUUAAAUAUUUGUUAUUUUAUAAUUAUUUUUAUAAAUUGAAAUUUUUAAUCAAAAUAUCAAUUUAAAUAGAAAUAAUUUAUUGUUUAUAUUUUAGAUUAUAUAUA
rnacentral:lncRNA from 1 species